rnacentral:lncRNA from 1 species
AUGGAGAAAUUACCAUGUAUAUCUUUGUCUGUACAGAAGAUCUUUCUGGCUUUCUUUGUUGCAAUGGGCAUCAUUGUGACCCUGGGUGAUGCAGACUGCUUUACUGCACUUCGAAAGCCUGGAUGGCCCCAAAAAGGCUGUAUGAUGAAUGGAAAACUGUAUCCCCUUGGACACAUUGAGAGGACAGAAUUUUGUUACAAAUGUGACUGUGAGAAAGAUGGAAUGAGAUGCUGUUCCCUGUAAGUUUGAACUUCUUAUUAUCAUCAUUGCCUGUAGGAUGACUGCAGGUUUCCAUUGCUGGGGAUAAAUGGGUCUGUAAGGGCAGAAGAGAGCUUUUUCUGAUCCAUGUUGCAGAGCUAGUGAAAGCUCUCGAGCUAACAUUUGCUUCCUCUUUGUCAAUGACAGUUUUUUUACACCUUCUCAUUACGAUGGAGAAAAUUGUAAAAUCAUUUUCAACAGAAAGCGCUGUGACUAUGAUGUGCUGCAGAAGGACGGCACUUCCAAGGUGUGUUCUUUCAUUGCUAGUGUGGGCUAACAUCUGCUCCAAGCCUCUCUGCUCUGUGGAAUUCCUCUCCUUUCCACAGAUACUGUGCCAUCACAGGGAAGCACCGCGACAAUGGAUAAUCUCCUAAAAGAGAGCACUUCACUACCUCGCUUGUAACCUCCUAAUUGUUCUAAUUCAGCUUACAAGAUGCAUGAUCAAAUAGAGUGUCUCACUGAUGUCAUUACUACAUUUUUUGACAAUAAUAAAUUGAGAUCAAACAUCUAUAAAUGCUUCAUAUUGAUUUUUUAGUUUUUUGCAGUGACAUGGUGAAAUGGUGCCUUCUUUGAGAAAUGCACUUGGCUCUCUACUCUGACAUGCAGUGCAUCAGUAGCCUGGCACAAGUCCCUGUCAGGCUUUACAGGUUCUCUUCCAGCCAGGCGUCAAAAUCCAUUAUCAGUUUGAAGUGAUGCACUAUUUGGGACAUGCUGUAUAAUGGCUCCUAUUCAGGGUGCAGGCACUUUUGGUAAGACCUGAGCUGUUCUCGCCUCAGAAAAACCAGUGAGAAUGAGAGACCAUCAUCCUCUUUCUCCCAUGGUUUCCCUUCUUUUUGUCAAUGUCACCACCCAACAUUGGCAGCAGCUGUUCAUGUCCAUUGCCCACUCUGAGCAGACCUGAAGUUUAAAGCAAUGUUCCAAUGUUUAAACUCUGAUAGUCUGACUUGUCCUCUGCCAAGCCCUGAUCCUGAAAGUCUGCACACACUGUGCUGCUUUAGUGGUUCUCUGCCACUCUGAAAAGGAGAUCCAGAUCAGCCCCUGGACACAUGCUUCCUGAUGGCAGCAGAGCUUGAGGUAGUAAGAAUGCAGAUGCCUUCUGUCUCCUCAGUACAACAAUUGCCCACAUUCACAGGGGAAUGAAGUUCAGCUUGCAAGCAGGGCUUGGGAAUGAAAUCUCCCACCUGGCAAUGCCUGGUGUCCUAAAUCUGCCCACAUAUAUAAGAGCAGACUACAAAACCCUGGUAAAUGCUGCUUCUACAUGGAGUUCUCCACUCCAGAAUUGGACGUUGAAAAGCUACAAGAGUCUGUAGUUAAGUGUUCCAUGGUUUGAACAGAAACACACCUUCCAAAGACAUUGCAAAACCACAAAUAGGGACUCCAGCAACAAGUUGCCAAAAGUAGGGGGAAAAACAAAACCUUUCCCGGGGCUGUGUAUGGUUACAGCAUUAUUGUUGCAAUUGGUGGUGGGAUUCUAUGUCUGUUCCAUCACAUGGUGCUCAUUCAGGAGUCGAGAGAGUAAAUCUCAAAUCCUUGCACUUUACUAUUGCCCAGAAUAAUUUUUUCCAACUGAAAUUAUUUUUAAACUCUUCAGCCUUCAGGUGGAGGCUUAAGAAACAUGUUCUGUUUUGCUGCUGUCUUCUGCAGGCUCUAUGGUAAAUGGAAAACUGUAUCCCUUAGGACACACUGAGAGGACUGAAUUUUGCUACAAAUGUGACUGUAAGAAAGAUCGAAUGAGAUGCUGCUCCUGGUACGUUUGAACUUCUUGGUGCCAUCAUUGCCUGUAGGAUGACUGCAGGUUUCCAUUGCUGGUGAUAAAUGGGUCUGUAAGGGCACAAGAGAGCCUUUUUUGAUCCAUGUCACAGAGCUAGUGAAACCUCUAAAGCUAACAUUUGCUUCCUCUUUGUCAAUGACAGUUUUUUUACUCCUCGUCGUUACAACAAUAAGAAAUGCAAAGUAAUUUUAAACAGAAAGAGCUGUGACUGUGAUGUGGUGCAGAAGGAUGACCUCUCUAAGAUGUGUUCUUCCUUUGGUUGUGUGGGCUAACACCUUCUCCAAGCCUCUCUGCACUGUGGAACUGCUCUCCUUCCCACAGAUGCUUUGCCAUCACAAAGAAGCACCCUGACAUGGGAAAAUCUCAUAAAAGAGAGCACUCCUGUCUCAUUUCUAUGAAAAACUCAUAUUCAUAUUCUUAAUAUUUUUUUUAAUAACUUAGUGUUUUAAGUGAUUUACAUAUGCUUAGUUCACUUUUUAAUUAAGUAAGAUUUCAUUUUACUAGUUUACUUUUUUUGGCCCUGUAUUUAUUUAUUUCUAAAUUAGAGCCUUAUUAUCUGUAAGGUCCCAAGAGUUUCUGUACAACCUUGGUACCCGUUUUGUUACAGACAAAGAUGACUUUCUUAGUGCAAGAGCAUUUUUGAUAUGCUGACAGCACCUGUAGAAAUGUGUAUUAAUAACCAAAAAAAGAAAUCUUACUAAGGCUUUGAAUCUCAUGCGAAUAUAUUCUAUAAAUGUCACCGUGAAAGCUGUUCUGAAGUUGCCCCCAGUACUCAACCAGCCUAGAAGUAAAGAAGUCCUUGGGUAAACAAAGAUUGGUUGGAUUCAAACCUACACAGCCAAUCUCAUUGGGCCCUAAAGGCAAAUGUAUCACUGGUCAGAGAGCUGGGCAGUCCAAAAUCCCAACCCAUCAGCUGUCUUACACCAGGGGAGUCAAAUCUGCUCUAUAAGGACGUUCUGAAACCUAAACCAUGGCUGUUACUGCAUGGAUCUGAGAGUUUGCAUCGUCCCUGUCUCCAACCACUGAUUCACUCACAAAAAAUUUAAGAUUCUGGGGCUGGGAGGACCCAGCAUGUUUGUGUGCUUAACCAUCCUUCCAGAAGUUGUCUGUGGGUGGGGAAGCCCAUCUUCUACUGCAAGGGCAGCUCCUCCACCACUUGUACUGGAAGCAGAUGAAAGACCAGAUAAUUUGCUACUACCUGCAGGACCAAAGGCACACUCCCCAUGUCAGUGUGGCCACAGCAGGGUCUGCUGUGGCACCACGUAAGUUCUACAAAACCAGAGGUACUAGUGGACAAAACUACAGCAAUGCUCCAGCCUGCCACCCUUCCUGUAGCUAAUUCCACAAAAAGUCCUUUUCACAGACAUAUGGUCACCAUUUGCUUAGCUGCAGGGCCAAGAUAAUAAACUGUGUUUGGAACCAUUGUGGUUUUUUAAAUUUGUGGAAUAAACUUUUCUGUCAUUUUUCUGGUUCAAUGAAGACUUCCAAUACUUUUUUUUUUUUUUUUUUUUUUCCCCCCCCCCCCCCCCCCCCCCCCCCCCCUUUUUUUUUUUUUUUUUUUUUAACUACACAUCUUGGGAUGGAAGGUAGAAGUGCAGGAUAUUUAGAAUUUCCAUAAGCUGGAGAUACCUUUUCUGCUGAAUCUGCCCCUCCUACUCAUUUUGAUUUACUGCCUCUGGACUUUUGUAGUCACUGGUACAGUGUCUGUGGCCAUCUCCCUCCGUUCUACCCACAUUUCAGAGAUGGAGGUCUCCUCAUUGCAAGCAUGGCCUGGUGUUCAUGGUUGGCUCUCUAGAUCUUUAUGUCUGUCUCUAUGUCCCUUGCUUAGCACUGAUCCUUCAUCCUAGGAUCAUGAUCUGACAGGAGUAUUCAGGCUAGCUGAGAAAUUAUCACAUGAAAAUGCACUUGCACCAAGAUAAAAAAAAAAAUUAAGUGUUUCUCAUCCCACUGAAAAUACAAUAAAUUAAAAUUGAAAUUGGACUCACAGAUGGGAACACACAGAAGAAGACAGGUGUGUUAUAUUAUAUUAUUUGCAGGAGAAACAGGACUUUUGGAAAAUAAAUUAAUAUGAUUAUGUAGAAAUUGAUUUAUUGUUUACUUUUUAGCUUUAAUUAUACUUUUUAAGAUUACUGUUUACACAAUCACACAUUUUUUGAUUGGUGUCUAUGUUGUUUAUGCACUUGGCAUGAGCUUUUUAGGUACAAUGAUUGCUGGACGUCUAGAACUUCACUGCCCACCUUUAUCUUGGGUCUUUUAGUUUCAGUGUUCUGUUUUUUAGCUUUUUUCCUUCUGAUUUAGCAUAAUUUAUGUUUUAGUGGCUUUGAAGGCUUUCAACAAGUUGCAGAAAAACACCUAAAAAUGGCUCAUCUCAUGCACUUGUUAUAAACAUUGGUCUAAACUAAGAAAUAUACAGAAAAACAGCUAAGCAUGUGAAGAAACAGCAAAAUAUGCAUAUAAACAACUAGGCAGCAAAAUAUGGAGAAAGCCAGCUAAAUAUAGUUUGGCUGGUGCAUACAAUACAGACUAUGGCUUGGACUUGUUUAGACAUGUCCCUGUGGCACAGACUUGUUUAGUAUUACUACAAUUAUUGUCUCAAGCGUGGGACUCCCAUCUUGAAUUGAGAUCUCAGUUCAAGUUUCAGCUCUGCCAUCUGUUACCUGGGAGAAAUCGCUCACACUGCCUGUGUACCUUGCUAUAAAAUGAAUACAAUUCUUUGGUAAUUCCUGUCCUGAGAGAGGUUUGAGGGCCAAGCUUUGAGGUUUGUGGGUGUAUGAACCUCAGACUUAAGGAAAGUGUCCCCGCCAAGAUAAAACAUCCUUCUACCAGCUUUGCAAGAUGUUCUUGUGUAAACAGUGCACUGUAUAUUUUAGUGUUGUUUGUGUGUACCUUUCCUUAACAGUUGUCCUUUCUCAAACACAAAUGUGACAGACUUUAAUAAAGUCAAGCCAAAGUACAUCAUACGUAGCUUUGUCAGUUUAAUGUCAAGAAGAGUUUCUUUGUAAAAUCAUGUUUUCUUGU